AGAUAAAGAGAUAUAAUCCAUCAUUGACUUGGACCCGCUCUGAUACCAUAUUAGAAAUGGGCCACUCACCCCUUAAAAGGCGAGGAGGGUUAUCCAUCCUUAUAUAGAAGAGAUAGGACAUCAUCAAGCCCUUAUAUAGAAGAGAUAGAACAUCAUCAAGCCGACGUGGGACAAGAUAAUAGAAUUUUAACAUAUGUGCUGUCAGCCUUGUCAAGAUUGGAUAGAUCGUGAAACUGUCGCUAUCGGGAUUGGCUCGGCGUAGCUGCCGCCCUCUUACUGCCGGUGUGCCGUCGCUGGAGCGCCAUGCCGGAAAUCCGGGAAGCAGCUCCCCCACAAGAGAAGCCCUCUAACCAUGAAUUGAAAGAAGAUCUUGUGGUUACUCGAAGAUGCAUUGGGCGAGCGUUUCAUUUGCAUGUCUCUUAAUUUACUUGUAAUAGAUUACUAUUCAAAUAUUCAAAAAUUAUUUUCUAUCGGACUUUUAUUUGUACA